rnacentral:piRNA from 1 species
UGACCAGGUGUCUGCGGUGGACAGCUAC